rnacentral:rRNA from 1 species
CAUCCUUGAAAGAGUGCGUAAUAGCUCACUGGUCGAGUGGUCGUGCGCCGACAAUUCAGCGGGGCUCAAGCGCGCCGCCGAAGCCGCGGACCCGCCCCCCCCCUUCUUCUUGUCGGGUGGGGGUCGGGUGGUAGGGGAGCGUCCUGCGUUGGGUGAAGCCCGGGGGUGACCCGCGGGUGGACGGCGUGGGAGUGAGAAUGCAGGCAUGAGUAGCGAUGACUGGGGUGGGAGUCCCCAGCGCCGAGAGACCAAGGGUUCCAGGGCCAGGUUCGUCCGCCCUGGGUGAGUCGGGACCUAAGGCGAGGCCGACAGGCGUAGUCGAUGGAUGACGGGUUGAUAUUCCCGUACCGGCGAAGCACCGACCAUGCUGACGCGCGGGUGCUAACCCACGCCCCUGCUGCCACGACAAGCCGCGGUCGUCUCCUUCGGGGGGUGGUCGUGGUUGUGGUGGCGGGUGGUCUGGGGGUCCUCCGUGCUGGUAGGCAAGCGUGUUAACAGGGGUGACGCACAGUGGUAGCCUCGCGGGCCUGAUGGCUUGGCCCGUUCAAGCGCGCGGCCCGGUCCCCAGGCAAAUCCGGGGGCCUGCCCCGCCGCCCCCUUGCGGGGGUGGUGGGGUGUGGGUGAGGCGUGAUGGUGACCCCGCAGCUGGCGGGGGAUAGCAGGGUGAUCCUGGGGUGCCGAGAAAAGCCUCGACGUGAUGGUGUCAGCCGCCCGUACCCUAAACCGACACAGGUGGUCCGGCAGAGUAUGCCUAGGCGAGCGAGUGAACCGUGGUGAAGGAACUCGGCAAAAUGCCCCCGUAACUUCGGGAGAAGGGGGGCCCGAACCCUGAAACGGCUGGCCCGUUAGGGGGGUGGGCCGCAGAGAGCAGGGGGGAGCGACUGUUUACUAAAAACACAGGUCCGUGCGAAGCCGUAAGGCGAUGUAUACGGACUGACGCCUGCCCGGUGCUGGAAGGUUAAGAGGAUCCCUCAACCCCCCCUGAUGGGGGUGAAGGGGUGAGUUCAAGCCCCAGUAAACGGCGGUGGUAACUAUAACCAUCCUAAGGUAGCGAAAUUCCUUGUCGGGUAAGUUCCGACCUGCACGAAUGGCGUAACGACUUCCCCGCUGUCUCGACCAGGAGCUCGGCGAAAUUGCAGUACGAGUAAAGAUGCUCGUUAAGCGCAGAAGGACGAAAAGACCCCGGGACCUUUACUAUACCUUGGUAUUGUCGUUCGCUGCUGGUUGUGUAGAAUAGGCGGGAGACUGUGAAACCUGGCCGCUAGGCUGGGUGGAGUCAUCAAGUGAAAUACCGUUCUGCUGGCAGUGGGCGUCUAACCUGAGCAUGUUAUCCAUGCUAGGGACAGUGCCUGGCGGGUAGUUUAACUGGGGCGGUUGCCUCCUAAAGAGUAACGGAGGCGCUCAAAGGUCCGCUCAACCCGGUUGGCAAUCGGGUGUUGAGUGUAAUCACACAAGCGGGCUUGACUGUGAGACUGACAGGUCGAGCAGGGACGAAAGUCGGAGAUAAUGAUCCGGUGCCGGUGUACGGACGCGGCAUCGCUCAACGGAUAAAAGGUACCCCGGGGAUAACAGGCUGAUCAUUCCCAAGAGUCCAUAUCGACGGGAUGGUUUGGCACCUCGAUGUCGGCUCGUCGCAUCCUGGGGCUG